rnacentral:rRNA from 1 species
GUCUCUUCGGGGAUGAUUAAACCGGCGCACGGGUGAGUAACACGUGAGUGACCUGCCUUUUAGACUGGAACAACUUACCGAAAGGUGAGCUAAUGCCGGAUGAGUUAUAUAAGUGCAUGUUUAUAUAGGAAAAGUUGGGGAGACCUGACGCUGAAAGAUGGACUCGCGUCCCAUUAGCUAGUUGGUAGGGUAAUGGCCUACCAAGGCGACGAUGGGUAGCCGGCCUGAGAGGGUGGCCGGCCACACUGGGACUGAGACACGGCCCAGACUCCUACGGGAGGCAGCAGUGGGGAAUUUUGCGCAAUGCUCGUAAGAGUGACGCAGCGACGCCGCGUGAAUGACGAAGGCCUUCGGGUCGUAAAGUUCUUUCGACAGGGAAGAAAAUGCCUAUAAGUAACUGUGUAUGUAUUGACGGUACCUGUAUAAGCAGCCCCGGCUAACUCCGUGCCAGCAGCCGCGGUAAUACGGAGGGGGCGAGCGUUGUUCGGAGUGACUGGGCGUAAAGAGCACGUAGGCGGUGUUGUAAGUCAUUAGUCAAAGACUAGAGCUCAACUUUAGUAAGGCUAGUGAUACUAUAAUACUAGAGUAUCAGAGAGGAUUGCAGAAUUCCUGGUGUAGCGGUGAAAUGCGUAGAUAUCAGGAGGAAUACCGUUAGCGAAGGCGGCAAUCUGGCUGGAAACUGACGCUGAGGUGCGAAAGCGUGGGUAGCAAACAGGAUUAGAUACCCUGGUAGUCCACGCUGUAAACGAUGGAUGCUAGGUGUUGGGCUUUUAAGUUCAGUGCCGCAGCAAACGCGAUAAGCAUCCCGCCUGGGGA